ACUUGGAUAUGGAUUCUUCACGGUAACGUAACUGAAUGUGAAGACGUCGGCAUNAGCCCUGGGAGGAGUUCUCUUUUCUUCUUAACAGCUUAACACCCUGGAAUUGGUUUAUCCGGAGAUAGGGUUUUAUGGCUNGAAGAGCGUAGUACCUUUGCUACGUCCGGUGCGCUUAUGACGGCCCUUGAAAAUUCACAGGAAGGAAUAGUUUUCAUGCCAAGUNGUAC
rnacentral:rRNA from 1 species